GAUGAACGCUGGCGGCGUGCCUAAUACAUGCAAGUCGAGCGAACAGACGAGGAGCUUGCUCCUCUGACGUUAGCGGCGGACGGGUGAUUAACACGUGGAUAACCUACCUAUAAGACUGGGAUAACUUCGGGAAACCGGAGCUAAUACCGGAUAAUAUAUUGAACAGCAUGGUUCAAUAGUGAAAGACGGUUUUGCUGUCACUUAUAGAUGGAUCCGCGCCGCAUUAGCUAGUUGGUAAGGUAACGGCUUACCAAGGCGACGAUGCGUAGCCGACCUGAGAGGGUGAUCGGCCACACUGGAACUGAGACACGGUCCAGACUCCUACGGGAGGCAGCAGUAGGGAAUCUUCCGCAAUGGGCGAAAGCCUGACGGAGCAACGCCGCGUGAGUGAUGAAGGUCUUCGGAUCGUAAAACUCUGUUAUUAGGGAAGAACAAAUGUGUAAGUAACUAUGCACGUCUUGACGGUACCUAAUCAGAAAGCCACGGCUAACUACGUG
rnacentral:rRNA from 1 species